CGGCCAAAACACUUGGUCAGAUUUUGCUUCUUCUUAUCUCUCUCACAAGAAACACUGGCAGAGAAAGAAGCCAAAAAAGAGGAAGGGCAAUAGCAGGAGGAUUCCACACAUAACCUGCCCCAUCCAAAUAUACUUUGGACCCCAUGUCAUUUUCCCUCUGUUAAGCCAAAGGCUCAAACCGUUACUAAAAAGUACUACAUCAAGUACAAUCCAUCUGUUGCUCGACAAGUUUCUGCUUUCUCUGAGUUUCCAAGUGCAAAGAGAGCCCUAGUUCUUGAUGUUCUUCUGGUGGUGCCAUGUUGAUUCAGAGGAUUUUGUCUCCGGGCCAAACUAGCCUCGGGCUCAAGCUUACCAUUUGGUGGUAUAAUGCUUGUUUGUGUUUUUGGUAGCCUGCUUUGCUUAUGGGCUGGGUUGUAGUGUGCUCAGGAAGACUCCCCACUUGCCUUUUGUUGCUGCAGCGGCUGGCAGACAAAUCGAUUAAAAUCCUCAUCUCUGGUAGAACUAACUGAAGAUUGAUGGGAUAUUCAUGGUUAUGACCGAAGGCUCUCAUUUCAUUGGAAAGUUUGGAAGCUAAUGCAAGUUCUUUUUACUUGUUAGGGAUGAGAAUCUUUUAGUUUGUGCACAAGAGAAUUUUUCAAGUUUGUAUUUGUUAGGGAUUUGCGAUGUUAUUAUUUGUUACUGACUUUUAAUUCAAUAAAUUAUAUUUGAGCAUUGGCUUUUGCUUUA